AUAAGGGAGCAUCAUCGUGGAGAGACCUGUACCGGAGAGCAUGGAGAACCCUGUUGCGGUGGGCAUCAUGGAGGAGCUUGAGGCCCAGAGCGAGGUGUGGAACCACAUUUUUAGAUUCAUCACCUCCAUGUCCGUCAAGUGCGAGGUGGAGCUCAGGGUCCCCGACGCCAUCCACGCCCACGGCGGCAACGCAACUCUCCCUCAGCUGGCCGCCGCCCUCAGCCUCCCUCCCGCCAAGCUCGCCGACCUCCGACGCCUCAUGCGCAUGCUGGUCCACGCCGGCUGCUUCGCCAAGCAGGAAGACGACGUGUACGCCCUCACGCCAUGGUCGAGGAUCCUGGUGAGCUCCGAGCACACCUCGGUGGCCCCGUUCGUGGUGUGGAUGCUCCACCCGCUCAUGGUCCAGUCGUGGCACUCGCUGGGGGCGUGGUUCCACAGGAGGGCGCCCACGCCCUUCGCCGCGACCCACGGGAAGGGGAUCUUCGAGACGACACGCGAGCAGCCGGGGUUUGCGGCCGUCUUCAACGAGGCGAUGGCG
rnacentral:lncRNA from 1 species